rnacentral:rRNA from 1 species
CAUAUCAAUAAGCGGAGGAAAAGAAACUAACAAGGAUUCCCUUAGUAACGGCGAGUGAAGCGGGAACAGCUCAAGCUUGAAAUCGACACUUGGUAAACAUAUGUCGAGUUGUAGCUUUUGGAAGCAGUUUCAAGCUACUGGUUGCGGUAAAAGUUCUUUUGAAUAAGACAUCAAAGAGGGUGAGAAUCCCGUCAUUGACCGCGAUUUAAGUAGUGAUGCGAACUGUUUUCUGUGAGUCGGGUUGUUUGGGAAUGCAGCCCUAAUUGGGAGGUAAAUUUCUUCCAAAGCUAAAUAUUAGUAAGAGACCGAUAGCAAACAAGUACCGUGAGGGAAAGAUGAAAAGCACUUUGAAAAGGGAGUGAAAAGUACGUGAAAUUGUUAAAAGGGAACCGGUUGGUAGCCAAGCAUUUCUUGGUGUUAGGGCAUUUAUGUCAGAGCAUUAGGAGGGUCAACAUCGAUUGCUAUUAACUGUCAGAAAGGAAAUUUUGCAGACUAGCGGAGGAAGGUAGGGAGGCGAGUUUCUGUUUCAUUCGUGAUUCAGUAUUAUGGCUUGCUUUCUGUUAUAGCCUCCAUGAGUUUGCUUUUUACGCCUAGUGGUGGUGGUGAUCGAGGACUGCAGCGCGUUUUGAGAAGUUUACUUCUUAAUGGCUUGAUUGUUUUAAAGCAUUGUAGUUGCGUUAUGGUAGACAGCAUGCUGACUGCUAUGGGUAGGCUAUAUGAUUUAAGGCAUUUAAGACUAAUCAGCGCUUUGGAUGUUGGCGAAAAGGCACUAAUCGACCCGUCUUGAAACACGGACC